rnacentral:tRNA from 1 species
GCUCACUCGAUGGAAAUGGUAAACAGGGCAGACUAAUUACCUAUAGGUUAUCGGUUCAAGUCCGAUAGUGAGCA